GCCGCCGUAGCUCAACAGGUAGAGCAGCUGAAUCGUAAUCAGCAGGUUGGGGGUUCAAGUCCUCUCGUCGGCACCA
rnacentral:tRNA from 1 species